CCGAACCCCACUUUUGAUCCAUCCGUAUGUCUAUGGAAAACAGUUCACUGUUCUUACAGCUGAAUUGCCGGUAUGGUGUAGGCACUGCGGGUGGAGCUCGCUGGGUGAAGUGCUGCGCCUGGCUUAAAAAGCAACGCUGAGAAGUCAGGGCUGUUUGGCCCGGCGGAAGGCCUUGCUGCUGUACUUGCGGGGUUGCGGGGACCUGAGCUGUGUCUCGCAUUUCGCUGUACUGCGCUGCCUUGUGUUGCCAGCAUCAAAAAUUUAAUGCUGUCCCUAUGUAUGACUGCUGCUUCUAAUCGCCAGCUGUUUUCUUCUGUGUGAUCUCCAAUUAAAAAAAAAGCUUUUAACUACAUGACAUCCUUGCUAAGCUUCAGGAACAGAAACAAUAUCUCGCUCUUCCAUUCCCCCUAUGAAGAUGGCCAGGCUGACCUCAGAUGGGUAUCCUUUCCGUGGUGUGUGUUCACAAGGAUCUUCAGAUUUAGCGAGCCUCUCAGCAGGCGUGAGGACCUUUGAUGUGCUGCACUUGCAGCAGCCCUGGAAUGUGACCCCUGGAACUGGCCAGUACAGCUGGAGCCCUCGGAGCGCUGCAGGCCUGGGUUUCGGAGCAAAGCCACGUCCGCAAGCAAAGAGACAGAAAGGCCCCAGUUGCUCACGACGAAGCCUCUUGUGCCACAGGGCUGUGGCUCGGUGGUGGCGCUGCAGAGAAGCCUUACGAGGGCCACAUCAGUUCUGUGCGCAAUGAAACGGCGUGGAUUCAGGUCUAGAAUAUCUGCUUGAAUUGUCCAUUAGGGGGAAUUUCCAAAGGCUUUUUUUCUAAGUGGAAACUAUUUAAAUUCUGUGAUUAGCAACUGCUUCUGAAAUUUGCUUUUGCAAUGAAAACUCACUUUGGCCGAUCCAGAUUCAACCCGGGUUGCGAAAAGGAGCUCUGGUUUCCUUGCCUGGCCUCUGGUGUCACUGUUGUGCUGCACACACACACACAUGGCUUAAUGCCAUUGCUUACACAUGCCAAAACGGAAGUUGUUAAAGAAACAAAACAAACCACCAAUUAAUUCAUAUCCUAUCCAAACUACUCGCCUGAAAGUUGUAUCAUUACUUUUGUAUUUCACUCAUACUAACAAGACAGUGAAAUAAUAAAUCCUUAAAAUCUGAUUGGCUGAAAAUAAAA
rnacentral:lncRNA from 1 species